UACGGAGGGGGCUAGCGUUAUUCGGAAUUACUGGGCGUAAAGCGUUCGUAGGCGGCUUUGUAAGUCAGAGGUGGAAGCCCACGACUCAAUCGUGGAACUGCCUUUGAGACUGCUUCGCUUGAAGAUGGGAGAGGUUAGUGGAAUUCCGAGUGUUGAGGUGAAAUUCGUAGAUAUUCGGAAGAACACCAGUGGCGAAGGCGGCUAACUUGACCAUCCUUGACGCUGAGGAACGAAAGCGUUGGGAGCAAACAGG
rnacentral:rRNA from 1 species